GACGAACGCUGGCGGCGUGCCUAACACAUGCAAGUCGAACGAAGAGCGAUGGAAGCUUGCUUCUUUCAAUCUUAGUGGCGAACGGGUGUGUAACGUGUAAUCAACCUUCCCUUCAGAGGGGGACAACAGUUGGAAACGACUGCUAAUACCGCAUACGAUCUAAUCUCGGCAUCCAGGAUAGAUUAAAGGUUUCCUCUACAUGUAAGCUCUCACUGAAGGAGGGGAUUGCGUCUGAUUAGCUAGUUGGGGGGGUAACGGCCCACCCAGGCGAUGAUCAGUAGCCGGUCCGAGAGGAUGAACGGCCACAAUGGGACUGGGACACGGCCCAGACUCCUACGGGAAGCAGCAGGGGGGAAUCUUCCGCAAUGGACGGAAGGCUGACGGAGCAACGCCGCGGGAGUGAUGGAAGCCUUCGGGUUGUAAAACUCUGUUAAUCGGGAAGAAAGGCCUUCUUGCGAAUAGUGAGAAGGAUUGACGGUACCGAAAUAGAAAGCCACGGCUAACUACGUG
rnacentral:rRNA from 1 species